UACGGGGAGACGCUGUACGCGUCGCGGGAGCGGGACUGCGGCGUGGCGGCCAGCAGGUCGGCCAGCACGUACGCGAGGCUCUCCGCGAAGGGGUCCCCGGCGCCGUACGCCGCGCCGUUGCACAGCACGGAGAGCGGUGCCGUGUUGGGCGCGCCGCUGGCGGUGUGCGGGCAGCAGGAGAGGAGGUGCAGCAACGCGAGGGGGAGGAAGAGGAGCCGGUCCGCUCUGCGUGAGCUCGCCAUGGUGCCUCCGACUCCGAUCUUGGGCUACGCCGCUACGGGUGUAGGUGUGUGUGUGUGUGGUUGCUGCCUUGUUGGUGGUGCUGGCGUUGCGAGCUUUGGGAACAACGGUGUCUAGCUAUGAGUGGGAAGAUA
rnacentral:lncRNA from 1 species